AGGAUGAACGCUGGCGGCGUGCUUAACACAUGCAAGUCGAACGAUGAACCUCACUUGUGGGGGAUUAGUGGCGAACGGGUGAGUAGCACGUGAGUAACCUGCCCUUAACUCUGGGAUAAGCCUUGGAAACGGGGUCUAAUACCGGAUAUUUACGAUUGAUCGCAUGGUUGGUUGUGGAAAGAUUUAUUGGUUUUGGAUGGACUCGCGGCCUAUCAGCUUGUUGGUGAGGUAAUGGCUUACCAAGGCGACGACGGGUAGCCGGCCUGAGAGGGUGACCGGCCACACUGGGACUGAGACACGGCCCAGACUCCUACGGGAGGCAGCAGUGGGGAAUAUUGCACAAUGGGCGCAAGCCUGAUGCAGCGACGCCGCGUGAGGGAUGAAGGCCUUCGGGUUGUAAACCUCUUUCAGUAGGGAACAAGGCCGGCUUUGGUUGGUUGAGGGUACCUGCAGAGAAGCGCCGGCUAACUACGUGCCAGCAGCCGC
rnacentral:rRNA from 1 species